rnacentral:rRNA from 1 species
GCAAUCUAUACUGUGAAACUGCGAAUGGCUCAUUAAAUCAGUUAUCGUUUAUUUGAUAGUACCUUACUACUUGGAUAACCGUGGUAAUUCUAGAGCUAAUACAUGCUAAAAACCCCGACUUCGGGAGGGGUGUAUUUAUUAGAUAAAAAACCAAUGCCCUUCGGGGCUCUUUGGUGAUUCAUGAUAACUUAACGAAUCGCAUGGCCUUGCGCCGGCGAUGGUUCAUUCAAAUUUCUGCCCUAUUAACUUUCGAUGGUAGGAUAGAGGCCUACCAUGGUAUCAAUGGGUAACGGGGAAUUAGGGUUCUAUUCCGGAGAGGGAGCCUGAGAAACGGCUACCACAUCCAAGGAAGGCAGCAGGCGCGCAAAUUACCCAAUCCCGACACGGGGAGGUAGUGACAAUAAAUACUGAUACAGGGCUCUUUUGGGUCUUGUAAUUGGAAUGAGUACAAUUUAAAUACCUUAACGAGGAACAAUUGGAGGGCAAGUCUGGUGCCAGCAGCCGCGGUAAUUCCAGCUCCAAUAGCGUAUAUUAAAGUUGUUGCAGUUAAAAAGCUCGUAGUUGAACCUUGGGCCUGGCUGGCCGGUCCGCCUCACCGCGUGUACUGGUCCGGCCGGGCCUUUCCUUCUGGGGAUCCGCAUGGCCUUCACUGGCUGUGUCGGGGAACCAGGACUUUUACUUUGAAAAAAUUAGAGUGUUCAAAGCAGGCCUUUGCUCGAAUACAUUAGCAUGGAAUAAUAGAAUAGGACGUGCGGUCCUAUUUUGUUGGUUUCUAGGACCGCCGUAAUGAUUAAUAGGGAUAGUCGGGGGCAUCAGUAUUCAAUUGUCAGAGGUGAAAUUCUUGGAUUUAUUGAAGACUAACUACUGCGAAAGCAUUUGCCAAGGAUGUUUUCAUUAAUCAGUGAACGAAAGUUAGGGGAUCGAAGACGAUCAGAUACCGUCGUAGUCUUAACCGUAAACUAUGCCGACUAGGGAUCGGGCGAUGUUAUUCUUUUGACUCGCUCGGCACCUUACGAGAAAUCAAAGUCUUU